rnacentral:rRNA from 1 species
GACAGCAGUCGCCACGGGAAUACGGAGGAUCCGAGCGUUAUCCGGAAUUAUUGGGUUUAAAGGGUGCGUAGGCGGAUAGAUAAGUCAGUGGUGAAAGACGGUGGCUCAACCAUCGCAGUGCCGUUGAUACUGUUUAUCUUGAAUAUGGAUGAGGUAGGCGGAAUGUGGCAAGUAGCGGUGAAAUGCAUAGAUAUGCCACAGAACACCGAUUGCGAAGGCAGCUUACCAAGGCAAAAUUGACGCUGAGGCACGAAAGCGUGGGGAUCGAACAGGAUUAGAUACCCCUGUAGUCCCUGUCUCUUAUAC